UACGGAGGGUGCAAGCGUUGUCCGGAUUUAUUGGGUUUAAAGGGUGCGUAGGCGGCCCGUUAAGUCAGUGGUGAAAGCCUCCAGCUCAACUGGAGAACUGCCAUUGAUACUGGCGGGCUUGAGUACAGGCGAGGUUGGCGGAAUUGAUUGUGUAGCGGUGAAAUGCAUAGAUACAAUCAAGAACUCCGAUUGCGUAGGCAGCUAACUAGGCUGUAACUGACGCUGAGGCACGAAAGCGUGGGGAGCGAACAGG
rnacentral:rRNA from 1 species